CCCUACGGGGGGCAGCAGUGAGGAAUAUUGGUCAAUGGUCGGGAAACUGAACCAGCCAAGCCGCGUGAGGGAUGAAGGUACAGAGUAUCGUAAACCUCUUUUGUCAGGGAACAAAGGCGGGGACGCGUCCCCGGAUGAGUGUACCUGAAGAAAAAGCAUCGGCUAACUCCGUGCCAGCAGCCGCGGUAAUACGGAGGAUGCGAGCGUUAUCCGGAUUUAUUGGGUUUAAAGGGUGCGCAGGCGGUCUGUUAAGUCAGCGGUCAAAGCCCGGGGCUCAACCCCGGCCCGCCGUUGAAAUUGGCAGG
rnacentral:rRNA from 1 species